GGAAAAAUAUAUCUGUCAUUUUUAUGUUUAUAUCAAGGUCUUUAUAUAUAUAUUAUAAUAAAAUUCCGUGAUUCAGUGUGGUUAAAUAAUAAGCCCGUGGAAACAAAAAGUGAAAUGAUAUUAUAUUUCAAUGAUAUGAAAAAUUGAACUCAAAUUUUUCGAGCAGCCGUACAAGUACAGAAAGAGCGGGAAAGAAGACCACGAUAUAAUAAAGUGCUCGACAAUGCAUUUAACAAUAAUUUUCCUGGUGUUCGCAGUAUUAUGGACGUCUACAAGCACCACAAUUGCCACAAAUUGCUAUGAAUGUGAGACCGUGUUACCAAAAGUUAAUGUAAAAAGACCGGAUUCGUGCGAAGGCGGGCAAUUUAAGAAAUAUAUGCCAAGGAAAGUCCGUUGUGAACAUGCAUGUCUUAAGGUGGCUGAUGAACAUCCAUCAUUCACGGUAUAUCGUCGAGGAUGCGCCACUAAAAAGGAAGCAGACAAUAUGGUUUGCAAAUAUAAAAGGAAGCUUUCUGAAGACUUAUUAAUAACAUGCACAUGCGACGAAGACCUAUGCAACCGAGCGUUGACGUUUAACGCCCCUAAACCUAUCCUAAAAUUUGUCUCAGUCGUUGUUGCAUUUUUUUAUAUUAUGUACAUUUAUAUGUAAGUUUACAUUUCCAUGGAAGAAUAUUUUUUUUUCUGUUGAAAUAAAUAAUAUAUAGACA